rnacentral:ncRNA from 1 species
UUGGCCGAGGCAACAUAUCUAUUAAAAGAUAACACAAGUGUCCUAAGAUGAGCUCAAUGAUAACAUAAAUAUCGUGUGAAACAAAAGGGUAAACACUCAUUUGAUUUUUAUUUUCAAUACAAAUACACACCAUGGAAGUGUGUCCUAUCGAUCCUUUAGAAUUUUGAAGCCCUACAAUUAAGAACCACAAACAACAACUAGAUCAUAAUGCUAUAGCUCAUAUGAAUGAAAAAUUUCACCCUUAAGGUAGGCUCAAGGCGCUGUUGGCUCAAAAAGUUAAAUGGGUCUCAUGUAUGUUUAUCAUUUUUUUUGGGUCAACCCGUGGUGAAUCAUUGGGAAAACCAAUAAUCUCUAGUUACUACAAUAACAAUAAGAGAAAUUAUGGAGGUGUGAUAGACUCUGACUUGCUAACUUCAAAGGAUCUUCUUCAAGGUAAGGGUAUAUAGGUGGCUCCGUAGGCUUCUUUGUUAUAAUUGUAAAAAGAAGAACCUUUGUGCUACCAAUUUCGAG